AGAGUUUGAUCCUGGCUCAGAUUGAACGCUGGCGGCAUGCCUUACACAUGCAAGUCGAACGGCAGCACGGGAGCAAUCCUGGUGGCGAGUGGCGAACGGGUGAGUAAUAUAUCGGAACGUGCCCAGUCGUGGGGGAUAACGCAGCGAAAGCUGUGCUAAUACCGCAUACGAUCUAUGGAUGAAAGCGGGGGAUCGCAAGACCUCGCGCGAUUGGAGCGGCCGAUAUCAGAUUAGGUAGUUGGUGGGGUAAGGGCCCACCAAGCCGACGAUCUGUAGCUGGUCUGAGAGGACGACCAGCCACACUGGAACUGAGACACGGUCCAGACUCCUACGGGAGGCAGCAGUGGGGAAUAUUGGACAAUGGGGGCAACCCUGAUCCAGCAAUGCCGCGUGAGUGAUGAAGGCCUUAGGGUUGUAAAGCUCUUUUGCCAGGGAAGAUGAUGACUGUACCUGGAGAAUAAGCCCCGGCUAACUUCGUG
rnacentral:rRNA from 1 species